rnacentral:rRNA from 1 species
UAUUGCACAAUGGGGGGAACCCUGAUGCAGCGACGCCGCGUGGGCGAGGAAGUACUUCGGUAUGUAAAGCCCUAUCAGCAGGGAAGCAAAUGUCGGAACCUGACUAAGAAGCCCCGGCCAACCACGUGCCAGCAGCCGCGGUAAUACGUAGGGGGCAAGCGUUAUCCGGAUUUACUGGGUGUAAAGGGAGCGUAGAAGGCGUGCCAAGUCUGGUGUGAAAGGCCGGGGCUCAACCCCGGGACUGCAUUGGAAACUGGCAUGCUGGAGUGCCGGAGGGGCAAGCGGAAUUCCUAGUGUAGCGGUGAAAUGCGUAGAUAUUAGGAGGAACACCGGUGGCGAAGGCGGCUUGCUGGACGGUAACUGACGUUGAGGCUCGAAAGCGUGGGGAGCAAACAGG